rnacentral:lncRNA from 1 species
UGAUAUCUUGCUUCUUGUAUGUUGUCAUAUUCAUCCAGAAAACCCUCCCCGAUCCAAAGUUGUAUAAGAUUUCGAUGAGAGAUUUCAUAAUCCUCCGGAAAUAAAGAGCAAUAUAGGAAACAUGAUUUGAUGGCUUCAUCGGGUAGGCGAUCAUAACUGAAUGCCAAGCGUGAAAACAAAUGAUUCUCCAUACCUGGAAACUUUGCCGGAUAAUUCUUCAACAUUUGUAUUUUUUUCUCCCAUUCUUCUGGUGUUUUUGUUCCCGCCAUUGCUCGCCCUAUGGUGAUGAGGGCAAGUGGUAAGCCGCAACACUCUUUGGCAACCAUCUCCGCCAGCUUUGGUAUAUCUGGAUGAGAAUUUAUGGUGUCUGCUCCCACCUUGGUCUGAAACAGAGCAAAAGCAUCCUCCCAUGGGAGACAAUUCACUUCAAUGCUCUCUGUAACUUCCAUAUCUUGGCACACAUCUUUAGAUCGCGUUGUAAGUACCAUCUUCAACUUAUCUUGAGGAUUCAGAGGAGGAAUACCAACUUUGGAUAGAUCCAGCCGCUCCCAUAUGUCAUCUAACAAAAGCACAAAUUUCUUUGUCUUCAGGACAUUGAAUAUUUCUUCUGCCCUUUCAUCCUCACUUCUACCUUCCCAUUUAUCUUGGGGAAUCUCCACUUUAUUGAAAAGAACUCGCUGAACCUUUUCCACAUUGGCUGGUCUGGACACAGUCACCCAAAUCACUGCAUCAAAUUCAAGCCUGGUUUUGAGGAGCUCAUUGUUGAUCCUGGUCAAGAGGGUGGUUUUGCCCACACCCCCCAUUCCAUAUAAUCCGAUACUGCUUACCUGCUCUCCACCAUCUUGGAGCCAUUUCCAGACCUUCCCAAACAACAAAUCUUGGCCCACAGUCUUGUCAAGCUGCCUCUCCAUCACGGGAGGACUAGGCAAAGGUUCAGCAACUACACUGAAAUUUGAGCCCUCCGUCUUCUUUACCGUCACAGCAUCCAUCUUUUCAAGUACCAUCUUGCCAAGAUUGUAGCUAGCGCCACAGUUUUUAGGACAACAGGUUCCGAGAUAUUUCUUCUGGAUUUCUUCAUCACCUUUCGCCAAUAUUUCCUUCACUUGUUCUUCCAUGGCUUCUACAUUGCGGAGCCAGCCAUCGACUACAUGAGUACACUUCUUCUGAAGUUUCUCUUCACGUUCCACCCGUUCCUUCACAUCUUCGUAUAGGUUCUUGAGUUCCUCCAUUGCAGUUCUCAAAGAGUUGAGAUUUUGUGGGAGAUGACGGAUGUAAACAGCACGCUUGGCAGUGCAAUACCACAAGCGAGUAGUGACAUCCAGGAUUGGGCUCACACAAUCCAUGGAGAAAACCAGAACUGGGAUUCAAAGCCAAGAAGAACUUAAUCAGAAUGGGAAAACAGGUGCUGGAUUGAAGUUGGAGAGGAAAAGAGAAGAAUUCUGGAUUUAUGUUUGUUAUGUGCAAAACCUAGCAAAGUUGAAGAUGAAAUAUCACAUUUUUUUUUUUCAAGUAAAAGACUCAGCAAUCAGCAUAAGGGUUUUUGAUUGGCUACAUAAGGGUCCACCACUAGUGAUAUUUUCCUAUUCUUUUCUUCCUUUUGUGUUUCCAUCAAUCAAGCUUAGUAAAGGGUCCACAGCACUUCUGGUUUCCUCUUUUCCUUUCAUGGGAAUCUUUUUCUUCCAAUACAUAUGAAUUCAUUUAGAUAUAAAGUUUGUGUAGUGCAUAUAAUUCUUCACCACUGUUUUUGAAAUAUAAUUAUUUUCUCUUGGUACGUUGAGAUCCAUUUUAUUAGUAAUUUAGGAAUUUAGUAGGUUUCUUUCAUCAUUCCGAAUACGAAUUUAUUAGGAAUUUAGGAAUUUUUUUGUAAUCCCAUUCCAAGUUUGUGAAUUCAUUGGUUUUUGAAUUUUUGAUAAUAUAAAUAAAGAAAGUUUGUGUAUUUAUUUUUGAGAAAAUAAUUUUUAUUUAUUUGAGAAACCAAUACAUUCAAAUUGCUCAUUAUAACCUACCUUGACUAUUGUGGAUUAGGGUAGACAUUUUAACCUGCUAUAAUAACAAUCAAGAAUAUAAGAGGAAAGUGACAAACUAAUAGAGAGAGAAGUCAUGCAAAUAAAUCACUUAAACUCAGUAAGUCCACCAUGCUAGAAUUCCCAUUUCUCAGUUAGGAAAGCAAAUAAAGAAAAAAAAAAAAAAAAUCAAAUGCACAACUAAUUAAAUACCAAAUUUUUCCUUAACUCAAGUUCCAGUUUGAACCUUUUACUAUCCCAACAAAAUCGUUAUUUUGUCUAUCGGUAUAUUUUAUUUGCAACCUUGCUUGAUGACUAAAUUAUCUUCUAUUAGAAAAACACUUUUAAAGGUUAAUUAUGUAUGCUUUCUCUUUCGUUUAUAAUUUUUUUUACUAGUAUUAAUGAUUAAUUCUCUUUUAUUCACGGAUAUAAACAUAAUUAGUUGAACUCACUUUUUUUAUGUUUACAUUUACUUUUGUCUGUAUGUUAUUACACUAAUAUGUACUUGAUAUUGAAUUUUUUUUAACAUAACAAAUAUAUAUACACUCAAAUUACAUAUCCAAAAUCGAAAUGAGUUCACAUUUGGGUUGUGGAAGAAAAAAAAUUCUAAAAAAAUUGACCAAAGGCAUUGUGGACUCUUUACAAAGUUUGGUGGUUCAUAAAGGAAGAAAAUAAGUAAGAUAUGCUCAAAUUACAUAUCCAAAAUUCAAAAUGAGUUCAAAUUUUGGUUAUGGAAGAUUUUUUUUUUUUUUAAAAAAAAAAAUGAGCAAAGACAUUGUACCCAUUAAAAUUUUGGUGGUUCAUAAACGAAGAAAAGAAGUAAAGAUAUACUCAAAUUAUGCAUCCAAAAUUCAAAAUGAGUUCACAUUUGGGUUAUGGAAGAAAAAAAAAGAGCAAAGACAUUAUGGACCCUUUACAAAGUUUGGUGGUUCAUAAAGAAAUAAAAGAAGUAAAGAUGUGCUCAAAUUAAAUAUCCAAAAUUCAAAACGAGUUCACAUUUGGGUUAUGGAAAAAGUAAAAAUUCUAAACAAAAUUAGCAAAGUCAUUGUGUACCCCUUACAAAGUUUGGUGAUUCAUAAAGGAAGAAAGAAGUAAAACACCGAAAGUGCGGAUUCUUUGGUAACAUUUUUCAAGACAUUCAUUCGCAUCAUAUAUCAUUUAUUAAGGAAGAUUGCCAAAAUCAAGAUCAAGUCAAACCUUCAUGAUUUCAGCCUACAAUCAAGCCAUUUGAAUAAAGUCUUUGAUCUGUUUCUAUUUAUGUGAUUAUUAGCCGAGAUUGGUGUAUAGUUAUUUUGUCAUAGUAAUUGCUAUAAAUAUUUCCUAAAAUAGUUCUCUGUGAUGUUGUAUAUAUUUACGUACAGAUCAAUUGAAUAAUAGAUGAAGAAAUAGUUUAUUUAAUCCAGCAGUAUAUUUCUCUAUAUGGUAUCAGAGCAACCCUUCUCCAACGAGUCAAUCCCUCCCAUUUCCCCAAUGUCUUCCUCACCCGAACAACCUCAAAUUCAUCUCAACACCCACCCCAUUUCCUCCAUUGAAACCACUCUUGUUGCUCUCAAUAUCACUGCCCAGAUUAAUGAAAAAUUGACUCCUUCUACUUUUCCUCAAUGGCGUGCUCAAUUUGAAGCCUUACUCAUAGGAUAUGAUUUGCUUGAUUAUGUCACCGGCAUCUCUCAAUGUCCCUCUCCGAGUGAUCUCUCUGUUUCUGCCCUACACAAAACUCAUUGGGUUCGGCAAGACAAACUUAUACUCAGUGCCCUUCUUGCUUCCACUUCCCCUACCAUCACCCCACUCAUUGCAACAGCAAAAACGUCCCAUGAGGCUUGGCAAAAAUUGAACACCCUCUAUGCUAGCAAAUCACGAACUCGGGCUAUGUAAUUAAAAGAGGAACUCACCUUAAUACAGCGUGGAAAUCGGCCUAUCUUUGAUUAUCUACAUGCUGUGAAGUCUCUGGCAGAUGAAAUUGCCAUUAUUGACCACCCCAUUUCUGAUGAUGACCUAACCCUCUAUGUGCUUAAUGGCUUAGGUUCUGAUUUCAGGGAAAUUGCAGCACCAAUCCGAGCUCGCGAAAAGUCUCUUGCCUUUGAGGAGCUCCACGAUCUUCUGGUCGGCCACGAACAUUAUUUGCGUCGCCUUGAAACUGCUACUCAGCAACUGGUAGCCGCUGCAAACUAUACAACCAGGAAGUCUGGUUCUUCGGGAGGUCAACAACGCAGCUAUAGGAAGCCGAAUGGGCCUCAGCGUCAGUCUGGGCAAGCUCCAGCCCGAAGUGGAAAUCGUGAUGGUCGACGUCCCAAUGGUUCCAAUCGGCCCAGCAACAACCAGCGGCCUUAUAGGCCCAAAUGCCAAUUCUGUGAUGAGUUGGGCCAUACGGCCAAAAAUUGUCCUCAGCUGAAGCCCAGUGAAAUUACUGCAAACAGUGCAACAACUUCUACCAUGAAAGAGCAAAAAUGGCUCCUUGAUUCCGCUGCCUCCCACAACAUCAUUGGUGAUCUUCAGAAUUUAUCUAUUCACUCCGAAUAUGACGGCACCGAUGAAGUGGUUCUGGGUGAUGGUUCAGGUUUGGCUGUUUCACAUGUUGGUUCUUUAGCUAUACACUCACCCAAUCGAACCUUUAUCUUGCGUGAUACUAUCUGUGUUCCAAAUCUUAAAAAAAAUUUGAUUUCUGUUCAUCAUUUUACCUCACAAAAUAAUGUAUAUGUUGAGUUUCACCCAUCUUAUUUUCUUGUGAAGGAACUGAUCACGGGGGCGAUCCUACUAAGAGGUUCAUGUGAGAACGACAUUUACAUUUUUCCGGAAUCACUUGUGGGAAAUUUUUCACAAAAGGUUGCUAAUGUGCAUGAACGGACGUCGCUUGAUGGGUGGCACAAGCGUCUUGGUCAUCCUUCCUAUCCCAUUGUUAAAAAUCUUGUUUCUACUUUUUCUCUUCCUACCACUACAAAUAAAAUGUCCAUGUUAUGUCGUUCUUGUUCUAUUAAUAAAUCUCAUCAACAACCUUUUCGCACAACUAGUCUUUCGAGUACUGGUCCACUUGAAAUUAUUUAUACGGAUGUUUGGGGUCCCGCACACUCAAUGGGUCUUGAUGGCUCUCGUUAUUAUCUUCUUUUUGUGGACCACUACACGAAAUACAUGUGGUUUUAUCCCAUGGCUACCAAAUCGAGUGUGUCAACUAUUUUUCCACAAUUUAAAAUUUUUGUUGAAACUCGGUUUCAAGCCAAAAUUAAAACCCUUUACUCUGAUAAUGGUGGUGAAUUUAUUUCUCUCAAACCUUUUUUAAAUCUUCACGGCAUUAGUCACUAUACUACUGCUCCUUACACCCCGCAACAAAAUGGAGUCUCUGAACGCCGUCAUCGACAUCUUGUUGAAACUGGCCUCACCUUACUUUCGGAUGCUUCCUUGCCUCUUUUAUAUUGGCCUCAUGCUUUUCGAACUGCCACCUAUCUCAUAAAUAGGCAACCGACUCCUCUUCUCACCAACAAGUCCCCCUUUGAGGCUCUUUUUGGACAUAAACCAAAUUAUCUUAAAUUAAAAAAAUUUGGUUCGCUUUGCUAUCCCCUUACACGUCCAUAUAAUAAUCACAAGAUGCAACCUAAGUCCAUUCCAUGUCUUUUUUUGGGCUAUUCUCAAACUCAAAAUGCCUAUAUUUGUUUGGAUCUUAAGACCCACAAAACUUAUGUGUCUCAUCAUGUGUUAUUUGAUGAGACCCAACUGCCUUUUCAAUCCGAGCAAGCCCAGAGCCCAGCCUAACCCGAGUCUUCUUCUCAUCUGUGCCCUACUUCCUUUAUUCCAUUGUCUUCUCAGCCCGUGCGAGUUCCUCCUCAAGUGAUUCCGUCCGUGCACUCUUUUGGCUCGGCACCAUCACAUGUGCUUCCGGCCGAUGUUUCUACUGCAUCUCCAUCACCUCCAGGUAACCCCCCUCUCUCUUCUCCUAAUUUUCCUUUGACUGAUGUUCUUAGAAAUUCCGGUUCUCAUUCGGAUGUUCUCAUCUCGCAUGACCCUGUUCUUCCUUCCUCCCUUCAUCUGACUCACACACACACGGUUGUUGAUCUUACUUUAUCUCAGUCCCAUUCCAUUCCCCCUUCGUGUGUUCAAACUGGGAACCCUCGUCUCCACAAAAUGACAACCCGUUCCAUGAACAACAUCUUUAAACCCAAGCAACUUCAUUUGGUUUCCAAACAUCCCAUUCCUCUAGCAAUUGAGCCAACUUGUGUGACUCAAGCCGUGAAUCAUCCUCAGUGGCGUGAUGCUAUGUCCAUUGAGCUCACUGCCUUGAUGAAACAUGGAACCUGGGAUUUGGUUCCACACCCCCCCCCCCCCCCCCCCAAAACUGUACACCUGUGGGCUGUAAAUGGGUGUUUAGAGUAAAACACAAAGCUGAUGGCUCGGUGGACAAAUUUAAGGCCAGGCUUGUGGCCAAAGGCUAUACUCAAAGACCGGGCCUAGAUUACAAGGAAACCUUCAGUCCUGUUGUUAGGCCAGCCACUAUUCGAUGUGUUUUGACUAUAGCCGUGAUGAAUGGGUGGCCUUUACGCCAAAUGGACAUCAACAAUGCUUUUUUACAUGGAACCCUCACAGAAACUGUUUAUAUGAUGCAACCUCCAGGGUUUAAAGAUACCAGUAAGCCUGAUCAUGUGUGUCGAUUGAGAAAAGCCAUUUAUGGGCUUCGACAGGCUCCUCGAGCUUUGUACACAACUCUGAGAACUGCUCUUUUUCAGCUUGGGUUCAAAAAUUCCAAAGCUGAUUCUUCUCUAUUUAUUUAUACACAUGGUCCUAUCAUUUGCUAUUUUUUGGUUUACGUUGAUGAUCUUGUAAUUACUGGCAAUGAUAUUCAGUUUGUGGAUCACAUAAUUCAGAAAUUGGGUGAAAUUUUUUCCCUAAAAGAUAUGGGAAACCUUAGCUUCUUUCUGGGAGUAGAGGUUAUUCCUACUCGUGCUGGUGUGUUCUUGUCACAGCAUCAAUACAUUCGUGACUUAUUGUCCACAACGAAUAUGCUUGGUGCUAAGGAUGUGUCCACUCCUUUAUCCACAACUGCUUCUCUGAAAUUGUUUGAUGGCACAACACCUGUUGACAGCACUGACUUUCGGCGUGUCAUUGGUAGUCUUCAGUAUCUUUCACUGACCCGACCGGACAUUUCGUUUGCUGUGAAUAAGCUAUCUCAAUUCAUGCAUAAGCCAACUACAGCCCACUGGACAGCCACGAAGAGACUGCUUCGUUACUUGAAACAAACCAUUUUUCAUGGUAUUCAGCUUACUAGAAACACAACUUCAGUUUUAACCACGUUCUCUGAUGCUGACUGGGCAGGGAAUGUGGAUGACAGAACCUCUACUUCGGCUUAUAUUAGUUUUCUUGGCACAAAUCCCAUUUCUUGGAGCUCCAAGAAACAACGAGCUGUUGCUCGCUCAUCGACGGAAGCUGAAUACCGUGCUCUUGCCAAUGCUGCGUCUGAAACUGUGUGACUGAACUCCUUACUUCAUGAACUCGGUUUUCCACUCAAGGUGCCUCCCUUGUUGCUAUGUGACAAUCUUGGCGCCACGCAUCUGAGUUUUAAUCCAGUUAAUCAUUCUCGCAUGAAGCAUAUUCAGAUUGAUUUACACUUUGUCCGAGAGCUUGUUCAAAAUGGGACCCUUCAUGUUCGUCAUGUUCACACGCAAGAUCAACUUGCUGAUCUCUUGACAAAACCCUUGUCACGACAACGGACUGAAUUGUUACGUACCAAGAUUGGUCUUGCCGAUGGAAGCUCAAUCUUGCGGGGGCGUAUUAAGGAAGAUUGCCAAAAUCAUGAUCAAGUCAAACCUUCAUGAUUUCAGCCUACAAUCAAGCCAUUUGAAUAAAGUCUUUGAUCUGUUUCUAUUUAUGUGAUUAUUAGCCGAGAUUGGUGUAUAGUUAUUUUGUCAUAGUAAUUGCUGUAAAUAUUUCCUAAAAUAGUUCUCUGUGAUGUUGUAUAUAUUUACGUACAGAUCAAUUGAAUAAUAGAUGAGGAAAUAGUUUAUUUAAUCUAGCAGUAUAUUUCUCUAUAUCAUUUGUGUCUUUUUAGUCAUUAUUAAAUGUUGGGCAUCAUUCAUGACUCAUGACCUAUAUGAAGAGUGCUUUUUUUAUUUUUUAUUUUUAUAAAUAUAAUGUUCUAAAUAAUAAAUAUUACUAACAUUUUACAAAAAGAAUAUUUACUUGUUCAUUUGUAAUUAAUUUUUAUUUUUUACUUUCGUUAAUUUUUUGUGAGACGAUAUUUUGAUAUCCUCAACAACUCAAAUUAGUGAAACAGGUGAUGGACAGGAGUUGGAGAGGUGAAGAGAAGAAUAUUGGGUUUAUGUUUUUGUGUUCAAAACCCAGAAAAGAUGAUAAUGAAUAAAGAGUAAAGUAAUAGUGACAUUGUCUUCCAUACAGACUGUCAAGCUCUCUUUUCUUUUAACGGGAAUCUUUUUCUUCCAACACAAAUAUGAAUUCAUUUACAUAUAUGAAGUUUGUGUGUACUGUCUUGUAACUUUAAAACUGUAAGUAGCAGUGCAGAUAAUUCUUCAUCCGUUCUACUGUUUAGAAAUAUAAUUCUUUUUUCUUGAUAGGUUGAGAUCAAUUUUAUUAGUAAUUAUUUACGAAUUUUUUAGGUUUCUUUCAUCAUUCCGAACACGAAUUUAUUAGGAAUUUAGGGAUUUUUUCGUAAUCCCAUUCCAAGUUUUGGAUUAUCAAACAUGGGUACAUGACCGGAGGAGAAUUAAUUGGUUUUUGAAAUUUUAUGAUAUACAUAAACAAAAUUUUGUUUAUUUAUUUUUGGAGAAGUAAUUUUUAUUUAUUGAAAAUUUGAUUUUUAUUUAUUUGAAAAACGAGGAUAUUCAAAUUGUUGAUAGUUAGGAAGUGUCCCAAAUUCCUAAUUAGUAUAGAUUCUUUUUUUGUAAAUAAUAUUAUAUAGAAUAUUUCUAGGUUGAUAUAUUAUUGUAAUAUUAGACUUCCUUACAGAAUAAGGAAGGUUGUUGGAAAUAUCUCUAUAAAUAUUCUAGGUCAUGAGGGGAAAAAGUUAUGAGAUGGAGAUGGACCUGUAGAGACUAUACGAGGUGGAUAGAGAUGCGAGGAAGAACGAGAGGUACUCUAUGGAGCAAGAGGGCUCGUAGUAGGGUAUGGAUACAAGGAGUGGGGAAACAUGUGAUGUUUCGGGAACCCAAUAGUUGUAUUUGGUUCUGUCCUCUGUAAUAUUCUCUAUUGUAUAGUGGAAUCAUUCUCUCUCAUCCGUGGACGUAGGCAUGGUUGGCCGAACCACGUUAAAAUCUCAUGUACCGUAUGUGUGAUUGUUUUAUCUUUGUGUUCUUGAACUAACAUUGUUGGCAUCAAGGCUUUCGCUGGCCCUACAAUUGGUAUCAAAGCUUGGGUUGAAGAUUUCUGAAAGAGUAAAAGAUCACAAAGCACACAAGAUGAAAACAAAAGGAAUUUUCACUGAAGGUGGAGUCGAUUGCUCUUUCGUGGUGAUAUGAUACUAAAAGGUUUGUGUCAUGGAGAGAUUGAAGAUUAACUUCAUGGAAUUUACUCAAAGGUGGAGAUUGUUAGGAAGUGUCCCAAAUUCCUAAUUAGUAUAGAUUCAUUUUUUGUAAAGAAUAUUAUAUAGAAUAUUUCUAGGUUGAUAUAUUAUUGUAAUAUUAGACUUCCUUAUAGAAUAAGGAAGGUUGUUGGAAAUAUCUCUAUAAAUAUUCUAGGUCAUGAGGGGAAAAAGUUAUGAGAUGGAGAUGGACCUGUAGAGACUUCCGUAUGUGUGAUUGUUUUAUCUUUGUGUUCUUGAACUAACAUUGCUGGCAUCAAAGCUUUCGCUGACCCUACAUUGAUUAUAACCAAAUAUCUAAUUACAAGAAAAAAAAUAGAGAUUAAUAAAAAGAUAAAAUUGCAACCUCUCUCUCAAUUAAGAUGAAAGAAUAUAAAAUCUUACAAAAUGAUGAAAGAAAACUUUAUUUUAAUGAAUAGUAAGGGAUGGAGACCUCCUUUUAUAGCGUAGGGAAACUCUCCCCCCCCCCCCUCCCCCCCUCCCCCUUUGUCUUCUAAACGAGAUGGGAUGACUUCAACUUUGACACGAUACACUUAGAAAUGUAAUGUUGGAAUAAUUAUUUAUUUAUAUUUCAAUGUUAAGUAACAAUAAAAAUGAGAAUAAAAAAAAUAAGUCGACAAUAAUAUUCAUACGCUUAGUUUAAAAUAAUUUUUUAUUUUUAGGACAUCUAAUAGUGGUUUAAAAUCAUAUUUCUUUUUUACUAUAUUUUGUUAUGAUAAUAGUAAUUAACUCCAAAAACAAUGUAAGUUCAUUUGUAUAUUUGUAUAUAGGUUUAUUUGAGCAUCUAAAAAUGGUUAAUUUGGAUAUAUUUUUACGAUAGAGAAUUCUCUAGCUAAGAAGUCUUCUCUUAUGUACUUGUUUGCACAUUUAUAAUUAUUUUUUUUAGAGGAAAGAAAAUAGUGAGAAAAUUAUAAGGAAAAAAAUUUAUAAAAAUAUUCUCUAUUUUGAUGUCCAUUAAAAAAUUGAAGGAAAUAAAAUUAAGUUAUUUAGAAAUACACUUUACUCACCUUUAUAUAAGGAAAAUGAUGAGGACAACCAUUUAGCAUUUUCCAAUUCUUUUGCUUAAUAUAUAUUUUUUCAUCGCCUUUUUUCUUAAUAUUUUUAUUUCAUUUUUUAAUAUUUUUUAAGAACUAAAUAUGAUCUUAAUUAUCAUAAUUAUUAUAUUUAAAAGGUCUACCCAUUUUUGGUAUAGCGUGUCAUGUAUGCAAAACCUUAGUUGUAUUACAAAAGGGAUUUGUAUGCAUUAAUAUCACAACAAGAAAAGUGAGAUAUGGUCACAUAGUUUUUUUAAGAGGGGUCAACAAAAUUCACAAUGAAAGAGUGUAUAUAACCUCACUACUAUUUGAGCCACAAUAGUAGGAAUUCUCCCACCAAGCUUAUAGUUCCAGGAUUAAUCGGAUACAACCAUAAAACCUCCUAUUGUUGAGGGAUAAAAUUGGUCGCUAUAAUAUAUGGCCCAAUGAAUGCAAGUUGGUCACUACAAUAAAACCAAUAUAUAAAUUCCCUACCAUUUCUCUUUUGCUCACCCUUGAUUGCUAAACUCAUUUCUUCUUUCAUCAUUGCUAGUCCAAUGUGAGAUUAAUCUUUAAUCAUGAAUUUUUUUUUCUCAAUGAUCACUCAUUGUGGGACGUAGCUUGAUGUUUUUUUAUUCACACAUUGCCCUCUCAUUAUUGUCAUUUUAUUUUAUUAUGAUUUCACUCUCUCAUUAUCUACUGUCUAAUUUUCUAGGAUUUUGAAUUGCUAGGUUUCGAGUUAUCACAAGAUUUGAAGGCUUUUCAAGCAUGACUUCUCCAUCAUUUUUCUCUUUUCUAGGGUUUUCUAGUUGAUUUCUCCUUUUCCAUUUUUGGGUUUUAUUUCUCUUCAUGUUUUGUGAUUUUCUAGCUUUCUAGAUUUUUUUUUUUAAUUUUUAUAUUAAAAUGUGAGAGGUGAUUGAUGCAUAGGGAAAUCUAGAUUUCAUAAAAUUGUUGAAAAGUAUAUAACUCUAUUUUCCAAACAAAAACUCCUUUGUUUGCCAAAAAGAUGAGGUGAAAGUUGAAGUAGAUAAGAAGUACAGGGAAGGGAGGGGAGAAGGAGGGGCCAUCAACCAUGUAUAGAAUGAGAAAACUUGAGAAGAGUGGGUUGUGUAUUUGAGGGGUGAGGGGUUAGUAUUCUCUAUACUUACUUUGGCCAUAUGUUUUUUCUUUGUCCUAUUUGGUUCUAGAUAUUUUUUUUACUAUGAAUUACUUCUAACAUAGUAAAAAUAUUUCUACCUAGCUUAACUAGUUGUGUUGAAUUCAAACAUUACAAUGACUAUGAGAAUGUGGAGUGAUAGGUAAGAUAAGUAGCUAUUAUAUCAACAAAUGAACUAAUUAAGGUGCAUUUGAAGUGUAGUAGAGUACUUAUUAGCUCAAAAACACAUAAAAAACUUGAUAAUUUUGAAAAGGCGACAAAUGACUAAUCAGUUCAAAAUUGAGAAACUAAUUACUUUUGGAGAGGUACAACUAAAACAAAUAGCUACUAAAGAUGUACAAAUUGAAUAAAUAACCCCUGAAAGACACAUAUAGAAAUAGCCCCUAAAGAGAUACAAUUUGAACAAAUAGCCCUUUACUUCACUAGGGUUUUUCUUAAUGGGUGUUUUGUAGUUCUGAGAUAUAUUUUUAUGAUCAUCCAAGAUGGAGUGUUAAUAAAAUAUGAGAAUAUGGAAACUUAUGAAUGAUCAUCUAUAUUGAUGUAAAUCUCUUCAUAACUCUCUAUAAAAAGGAAGACCUAAUAUUGAAAGGAUAUUUAAUUCUAUAAGAGAAUUUCAGUUUCUUCUUCUUGUAAUUCUUCUAUUAUAUAACAAAACUUAUUUUUUUUGUAUAUUACACCUAAUUUUCCUUUUUAUUUAUCUAUUCCUUAACCUUUAAUUUUCCCACAUAUCUUAAAAUGGCCUUGCAUCAAGCAUAAAUUAGCUAAAUAGUAAAAUAAUAGGUAUAAUAUAUUUAUAUCACUAUGGUAUAAACUUAUAGUACGUUUAUGUUUGGUUUUACAUUAAAAAAUAUAAAAAUAUAUAAUUAAAAUUAGUUAAAAGUGAUGUCUUUUAAAAUUAUUUCAUCUUUAUAUAAAAUAUUUAAAAUAUGUAAAAAAAAAAGGAUUGAGUUUGAAAUAACAUAUAAAAAUACAGAUCCAAAUUGAUUCCAUUCAUUCUCCUUUCCUUUUGUGAUUUUGCAUUAAAGAAACUCAUCCCAACAACCUCACAAAUAAUGCUUAUGAAAAAAUAAAAUAAAAUUAAAGGCAUGAUGAAGUGAAAAGAGGAACAUCCCAAUGAAUGGAGCAGAGAGCAAAGUUCUUGUCUUGAUUUCCAGUUGAUGCUUUUUCCCUGUUUUAGCUCCUUAAACUCUGUUCCUUUCAACUCUACAGCAAAAUCCUCUAAAUUUUCACCUUCUCUCCUCCAAUGCUCUCUUGGAUUUAUGAAAAUACUCCCAUUAGUUUCCUAAGAGUCAAGCCUUUUCGCUAUUUUUUUUUUCUCCCAUGGAUUUUAAUAAUUUUCCAACCUAUACUUUUAGUCAAAUAAUAAAGAGAAAAAAUAAAUAUUGAAUUUAAAAUAAUAAAAAGGCUACAAAUUCAUUAAAUGUAUUUUAAAAAUAUUUUUAAUUUAAAUUUAACUACUUUUUACCUUCAAAGUUUUAAUGAUAAAGUGUUUUUAAGUUAUACUGUUGCUUUCUUACUCUAUCUUUCUCUAUUUUCAGCUUUCUUACCCUAUCUUUCUCUAUUUUCAUCCGUCAACCUUGGAAAAAGACCUGAUUUUGGAUAUUGUCUUUACUUCCUUAUCUCUUAAUCUAUGUUAAUUACAUAAUUGUGUAAAUAAUUAAUUUAAGAAAAAAGUUUUUUUUCAUUACUCAUGACAUGAAAUGAUAAAAAUAAAAUAAAAUAAAGUAAAAAAGUAAUUAUAUGAAUAGCAUAUGAAAGGUUAAUCUCUUCUUAUGAAGGUAUAUGAUUAUAGUAAUGGAAUGUGAAAUCCAUUCCAUCUUCAACCUGCAUGAGAUUGUAUUAUUACAUGCCAAAACCUAUUUAUAGCCAAAGAGAAAAACAAUCUAAGCUACUUCUCGGGACGUACCCAUGGGAGCACUUUUUUUUGUUGUUGUUGUUUCUUUAUGUUGGGACCAAACACGGGUUCAAAUCUUCCUGCACAGAGGUUGGAAAUCUUGCCAAGAAGCCUACAAUUUUGAAGGUUGGGCUUAGGAUUUUGGAUCAAAACUUUCAUAUAUCUUCAAUGGUAUCACGGGGUAUGGUGCUUAAGCCAAAAUCAUUUCUGGAUCAACUUCUACUUUUGACAGUCCUUUCAAAUUAGAGAGAGAAUAGUCUUGUGCACUAGAGUAACUUAUACACAUGGCCCCAUUCAAUCAAUUUCAUAGUUCUAUGAUUUAAAAAUUCCAAUUUAUUUUCUUUUUCUUUACAUUAAUUUUCUCAACAAAUAAGCAGUUUAUCAUCUUCUACUUUUAUGAAAUCAACCAAAAUCUCAAACAGAGCACCUACAAAACCACAAAAAAGGAAAGGGAUCGAAAAAGUGAAAAACUACCAAUUCGAGCUUUCUUUGACAAGAUAAUCAGAGCUUGGAGUGCAAGUUUGUAGACAUGGAAGCUCGUGUGCAGUGGAAAAGAAGAAAAUGGCUGGUCAUGAUCCAGCGAUGCACUAAUCGAGGCUUGUGGGGAUUGGAGAAGAUUGUUGUGUCUUCCUUUGAGCUUUUGCAUUUUGGUUUUUGAAUUUCGUGGAGAUUAAGGGAUAGUUUCCUGGAAAAGGAGGUUGGAGAGAAAUAAUUGAUGAUGUUGCCAAACAAUCUUUACAAAUAACAUCUAUUUUUGCAUUUUUCUAUAAGAAUUUUACCAAGUGGUUGUGCAUAAUCUCAUGGCUCCACGACUCCCAAGUCCCAAACAAUCUAAUGAAGUGUGUAGAGUGAGAAACCAGAAAGAAAUUAAAUAUAAUCAAAAUACAUGAAAAGUUAACAUAAUAUUUCAAAUAGAAAUAAAAUAAUAUCUUGAGAGGUAGACUCAAACAAUCACAAUGCACAUUUGGACUUGGCCAUGUUUAUAACAUUAAAAUUUUUAAAUACAAUUAUAUAUAUAAAAAAAAAAGGAAGAAAAAAGGAUUUUACCUGUAAUAAGAUGAAUGCCAUGGGAGCUCAAAUCUCGUCUUGAAUUUGUGUGGGUUGAAAAUAUGGAGUGAGGUUGUGCAUAAUCACUUGAUCCUCCCAAUCCAAACCAUCCCACCAUUCUUUUUGUCCACGGAUUUGCUCUAAUUUCUUGCUUAUUCCAGUGUUGGAAUCAAAUGGCAGCUUCCUCAAACUUGGACAUUGAAGCACACGGAUGUAUCUUAAAGAUGGAAAAGGUAGGGCACGUCCAUAUAUACUUCUUAGCUUUGGUAGCCAUGUUAAAGUGAGUGAUAUGAGUCUCGAGAAAACACCCAAAUGAUCUACCUCAAUUUCUAAAACUUCACUUCUUUCAUCAUCUAUCACUUUUUCCAUUGAUUCACAGAAUUCAACACUUAGAAAUUGAAGGCUUGGAGCACAAAUAAGCCAUGUCAAAUUCAACAAUUUAUGACAUCGAAAUAUUUUGACAUCACAAAGGUUGUUCAAGCAUGGGUGCCUUGGGAAUUUUGAGUAGACCACCACUUCAUUUUCAAAAUUGAUUUUCACAUCUUGCAAUUCAAAACAAUUUUUAAUAUGGAGGGUCUCUAUAUAAAGGGAUAGUUGGACCAGGUUCAUACGCUCACAAACUAAUUGUAGCCAUCUUGUGGAUCUUUGCAACUUGUGGGAGUUAAAUAAUGUUUGGAUGGAUGAUACACUUGUAAGGUCGAUGGAUAUAUCAUCAAUGUGUUCCAACUGCUCUAACUCUUCUAAUAACCUUCUUUCAUCAUAUCCCUUAAAGGCUGACCCUUCCGUGCUAUACAUACUAAACAAUUGCAAAGAGGAAAGACUCGAUACCAUUUGAGAUGGAAGUGACUCAAGAAAAUACAUAUCAUUCAAUAUCAAGCACCUUAAUUUUUUCAAGUUCUUGAGCUCCACAGGUAAGUAUUCAAUACUUGUACACGACAAAUUAAGAUAUUGCAAGGUAACUAAGUUUCUAAUCUCCACAGGUAACUUCAUAAGUUUAAAAUUGUUUGACAAGUCCAAAACUCUUAUAAUAGGCAUGUUUGUAAAGAAUCUAUUUGAAAAUGACUCAAUAAACACACUUGAUGCCAAAAAGGUCUCAAUAUUAGGGAAAUAUGGUGGUUUCCUAUGUUCUUCAAUGUCGGUAUUCCACAAUGAUAUCCUCUGUGUCUCUUUCCAUUUUUCAACUUCCUGAGCUCUAAUCGAUUCGACUCCAUCUUUUACCACAAAUUUGUUCUUCUUCUUCCCAUUUUCGUGAGCCAACCACAAAGCCAUAUCACGAAUAACAUCAUGCAUCUUCAAAUAUUCGUCUUUUUCAUCUAAUGGAGAUAUGCCAUUCUCCAAUAGACAUGCAAGCUGUAAACUUUUAAUAACUUCUUCGCCUUGAUUUCUUGCUUUUUGUAUGUUGUCACAUUCAUCCAGAAAACCCUCCCCAAUCCAAAGUUGUAUAAUAUUUCGAUGAGAGAUUUCAUAAUCCUCCGGAAAUAAAGAGCAAUAUAGGAAACACGAUUUGAUGGUUUCAUCGGGUAGGCUAUCAUAACUGAAUGCCAAGCGUGAAAACAGACGAUUCUCCAUACCUGGAAACUUUGCCGGAUAAUUCUUCAACAUUUGUAUUUUUU